rnacentral:rRNA from 1 species
AUUAAACGCUGGCGGCAUGCCUUACACAUGCAAGUCGAACGGCAGCACGGGGGCAACCCUGGUGGCGAGUGGCGGACGGGUGAGUAAUGCAUCGGAACGUGCCCUGAAGUGGGGGAUAACGCAGCGAAAGCUACGCUAAUACCGCAUAUUCUGUGAGCAGGAAAGCAGGGGAUCGCAAGACCUUGCGCUUUGGGAGCGGCCGAUGUCGGAUUAGCUAGUUGGUGGGGUAAAGGCCUACCAAGGCGACGAUCCGUAGCGGGUCUGAGAGGAUGAUCCGCCACACUGGGACUGAGACACGGCCCAGACUCCUACGGGAGGCGGCAGUGGGGAAUUUUGGACAAUGGGCGGAAGCCUGAUCCAGCCAUGCCGCGUGAGUGAAGAAGGCC